UACGGGCAGGAGGAGGGGAGG
rnacentral:miRNA from 1 species